rnacentral:rRNA from 1 species
CCGGAAUCAUUGGGCGUAAAGGGUCCGCAGGUGGCCAAUCAAGUCGGCUGUUAGAGACCGGGGCUUAACUCCGGGCAGGCAGUGGAAACUGAUUAGCUAGAGUACGGUAGGGGUAGAGGGAAUUCCCAGUGUAGCGGUGAAAUGCGUAGAUAUUGGGAAGAACACCGGUGGCGAAAGCGCUCUACUAGGCCGAAACUGACACUGAGGGACGAAAGCUAGGGUAGCGAAAGGGAUUAGAUACCCCUGUAGUCUUAGCUGUAAACGAUGGAUACUAGGUGUAGCUCGUAUCGACCCCAGCUGCGCCGAAGCUAACGCGAUAAGUAUCCCGCCUGGGGAGUACGCACGCAAGUGUGAAACUCAAAGGAAUUGACGGGGGCCCGCACAAGCGGUGGAGUAUGUGGUUUAAUUCGAUGCAACGCGAAGAACCUUACCAGGGCUUGACAUGUCGCGAAUCUAGCGGAAACGUUAGAAUGCCUUAGGGAAUGCGAACACAGGUGGUGCAUGGCUGUCGUCAGCUCGUGUCGUGAGAUGUUGGGUUAAGUCCCGCAACGAGCGCAACCCUCGUCCUUAGUUGCCAAUAUUAAGUUAGGCACUCUAGGGAUACUGCCGGGGACAACUCGGAGGAAGGUGGGGAUGACGUCAAGUCAGCAUGCCCCUUACGUCCUGGGCGACACACGUACUACAAUGGUUGGGACAAAGGGCAGCAAGCUCGCGAGAGUAAGCGAAUCUCAUCAAACCCAGCCACAGUUCAGAUUGCAGGCUGCAACUCGCCUGCAUGAAGUAGGAAUCGCUAGUAAUCGCAGGUCAGCAUACUGCGGUGAAUUCGUUCCCGGGCCUUGUACACACCGCCCGCCACACCAUGGAAGCUGGCUACGCCCGAAGUCGUUACCCUAACCCUAAGGGGAGGGGGAUGCCGAAGGUAGAGCUAGUGACUGGGGUGAAGUCGUAACAAGGUAGCCGUACCUGAAGGUGUGGCUGGAUCACCUCCUUU